UUGUUUUCGUUCAAGAUGUGUUCACCCACUCAAGCGGUGAAACCACAGCUAAUAAAAUCGUGGGUGGGGAAUACAUCGGAAUUGAAGAAGUUCCUUUUCAAGCUUUUGUGUUAACAGAUAAGAAUACUUGUGGAGGGGUCAUAUAUAAUGAAGAAUAUAUUGUGACUGCCGCACAUUGUCUUCAAAAUAUCAAAAGAGUUCAAAUAAGAGUGGGAUUUAACAGUUGGUAUGAUUCGGAAGAAAAAUAUCCAUACAUGAAUGGAACCUAUACCGUGCAUGAAAAAUAUAACAAUCCUGGAAAGAAUACUAAUUUUGAUUAUGACAUAGCACUCAUUAAAUUAUUAAAAAAGUUGAAGCUUGAUGGUGUUAAAAUAGCCAAAGCCACCUUCGUCGAACGGGGAAAGGAGCUCGCUGAUGGUACAAACUGCACAGUGUCUGGAUGGGGCUCUACAACUGAAGGCGGGGCACCCUCUGCGUAUUUAAAGUCAGCCUUUCUUGAGAAAGGUGAUUCCGGCGGUCCCCUCUUUGACACGGCAACCAAGAAAGUCGCUGGAUUGACGUCUUUUCUACAAGAUUGUGAAGAAUAUAUGCCUGCGGUUUUUACCAACUUAGCUGAUGAUGGUUUGAGGGAUUGGCUUAAAAAUCAUACACAAAGCGAAAAUUAAAUCAAGAAAAAUUUAAUAAAAUAUUUCCAUUGAUUAUUUUUCAUUUAAUAUGUAUAUUCAUAAAUGUGUGUAUGACAAAAUAAUUUCAAUUUA